rnacentral:rRNA from 1 species
UACGAAGGUGGCAAGCGUUGUUCGGAUUUACUGGGCGUACAGGGCGCGUAGGCGGUUGGGUAAGCCCUUCGUGAAAUCUCCGGGCCUAACCCGGAAAGUGCGGAGGGGACUGCUCGGCUAGAGGAUGGGAGAGGAGCGCGGAAUUCCCGGUGUAGCGGUGAAAUGCGUAGAGAUCGGGAGGAAGGCCGGUGGCGAAGGCGGCGCUCUGGACCAGUACCGACGUUCAGGCACGAAAGCGUGGGGAGCAAACAGG